UUCUGACCUGCGUUAGCGAUUGAAGUGGCAUCCUUUUAAUGCUUACUUAAAGAACGUCAUUACGAGUGAAACGAAGUAAUCUUUUUAUAAAUAGGGAGAUUGCCACAGAAAAUAAAAAAAUUUCCUCGCAAUGACAUUAAAAGAUAGAACGAAAAGCGCGACCCUUG
rnacentral:sRNA from 2 species